ACUAUCACUUUUUCUUUUCUCUGUUUACUCAAGGGACUUCAUAAAUCAGUCAUGAAGGUAAUUGCAUUUACAAAGUUAGCUCAAUAGGUCUUCAUUUAAACUUAGAUUUUUUUAAAAGUGUUAUCUCGUGAAAAAUAUAUUCUUAGCAGUCUUUAAAAGACUGGAUCAUUUUAAAGGGGUUUUCAGCAUGAACGCAUCACAACAUAUGCUCAGACACUGAUUUAGCACGUGUGCUGGAAGCUCUCAAGUUGAGAAACUGAACAACUAGAUCAAUUUUUCAUGCCCUCUGGUAAACUUCAAGUACUAAUAAACACUAUAGUAUGAAAACUCAAGGAUAUUUUGGAUCUGGGGCUUAGUUUGCAGUCUUGGUGAAAGCAAGUUUGUUUGAUUUUAUUUUUGCUUCUUAUGCCUAGCAUUUGAACCAAGAUACAAGAGAAAGUAGGACAGUUUAUGUUUGCUCUGAAGUUUUAAAAAGAGAAAAGGGAGGAUUUGUGUUCACUCUGGAUUUGCUGAUUAGUGUAUCUUCCACCUCAACCAGGCAGAUGGCUUCCAGACUUCCUGAAAAGAAGUUGCUGAAAAAAAGAGUUGCUGAAACCUCCUCAUGGGUUUCCUGUGCACAUGGCCUUUGGAAGAUGGGAACAGAUUAUAUUAUCAUUUAAGUCAAAUAUUUAUUGACUACAUAUUGUGCUGGGUGUCGGGAAUACAGAGCACUUGAAGAAGUAGUUUUUGCAUUUAAGGGAUACAUACAUUAAAAUAUAAACAGUUUUCCAAAUUCAUACCUGCUAACUGCAAGGAGGAUGGUAAUAGCAGUAUUGCUACUGCAGUUUACUUUUCCUUCUGCAGCCAAUCCUGCUUCCAACCAGCUGUGGGGUAAAGUGUACUCCCAGUGAUUGGCUUCCUAAGGUCCUCUUGCUUCUCACAUGCAGAGCCCAGGUACCCUGGCUCUGGGAUGUUCACAAAGAUACUUUGUUGUUGUUUUGUGUGUGGCUGGGCCUCCUUGGCUCAAUGGCUGACUCCGACCUCUUUUCUAGGUUACUGAUCUCAGUGACCUGUCUUUCUCUCACGCAGCCCAGUCUUGAUUUUUGUUUCUUAGAUUUUAUUUCUGGAGCCCCUCUGCUGGGCCUUGCAGCACUGAGCAGCUAACACUUCCUGCCUUUUUCUUUCUUCUACCCUGCUCACUUUUUCUCCAGGAAAGAUGCCAGACUUUGUGGAGGAGGUGGGACUCCAUUUUAAUGAGAGGCAAAUUUUUAAAAAAAUAAAAUUUUCAAAUUUUUUCAAAUUUCAAUGUAUGUUCCUUCUCCUCAUACCAAAAGCCCUUGUGUCAAAAAGGAUUUUAAAAGGGUUAACAUGAGAGUGGCAUGCAUUGGAAUGAAGGCAGAGAAAUUUCAUGACAUAACAGCCCAGUAUCAGGGGAUAAAGAUCUCAGUUGGCAAUAGGGAAAAAGGAGAGCAGCACUAGAAAUGGUUUAGAAAGAAUUAGCCAGACUGGGCAGAGAGGAACAGAACAAAACAAAACAACAAUUUUUGGAAUUGUUAGAAAUGCUGUAAAAAUAAAAGUGCUAUCAGGGGGAAAUAUGAGAGACCUCUGAGUCAUCACCAUCCUAUUGUCCCAAUGUGCCUAGGACUAAGAAGUUUUCUGGAAUGUGGGAGUUUUGGUUUUCAAAUCAGAAAACUAGGAUGAGCUGUCCAACCAGUGCCAGUACCCUGGGGGCUCUUUGACAUCCUCCAAGUCAGUUUGAUUGGGAUUAUUUAGGCUGACAUUGAGAUUUUAGUUAAAGGGGUUGAAGUAAGAGUGGCAGGUGCCUGAUUGAGAGUUGCCAACCUUCCUGCUCCCAUUUUAAUGAGA
rnacentral:lncRNA from 1 species